rnacentral:lncRNA from 1 species
UAAAUAAUCAUACCUUUUUUAUAACUAUUUUAAACAGUUUUCGAAAAACGCCGACGACGUCAUCACCGAAAUGUCGUCAUCAACCUAACAUAUAAUGGGUGUUUUAUCCAUAAAACCGAUUUCAAAAGCAAUUGCCGUUCGUUUAACGUGACACGUCAUCAUUAUCGCGGUAUACUACACUAUUAUUCGUCUCGGUUUUUCAUUUAACGCCACUGCAUGACGUGACAAAGGACUCUAAAUAUAAUACUUACUAUGCCCAAAUGCGGUGUAGGUAAAAAAAAAAAAAAAAAAUACAAUUUUUAUGUUAUAUAUACAAAUAUUUGUUUUUACCAAAGGAUAUAAUAUAUUAAGCUUCUUAUAUAUUAUAUUUGUUGGUUUGUUUUAUUGUUGUGGCAAGACUGGUUUCAAUCGAAUUGUAAUGUAAAAUAAUUUUGAAAAAUUGUGUUAAAUUUGUUGAAUAAUUAAUAUUAUUAAUUACAUUUAUAUAAUAUUAUUUAAUUAAGUACCUAUACCUACCUAAUACCUCCAUAGCCCGUCUGUGGUUAGCAAACCAACCUCCGGGGGUCCGCUUCCCGAAAAUUUCUGAUAACCCAAUCGGUCACGAAAUUCGAACUGGUCAAAAAACGGGUUUUUUUUUUCAUUUAGAAAAAUCUUAAACGUUCGAAAUAUGCCUUCUUUUUCAAAUGUCGUUCGUGUAAUGUAUGUAUAUAAUCUCAAACUUGCCAUUUUCAGGCAUUUCCACACACACACACACACAAACACCCACUUUUUUCCUUGCACUUUGAUUGGAACAGGUAAUAUUUUCUUAAAUACACUAUCGUUCAGAACCGCCAUGAACUUUUGUCCGACUGCGGCAAUCGUUUUUAAAUAAUAACUAUUAUCGUACUCAAAAUCGAUUUCUAUUUAUAUUAUUCUCAUCCCUGUUCAGCCGUUUGAAUAUUUUAUAACGAUUAAACUAUAUCGAAAAAUUACGAAAAAAAUGUUUCAAUUUGUAUUCAACUUUCUAACAUUUAAUAAUAUCUAGAUUAUAAGUUUUUUUUAAAAAAAAAAAAAAAGUAUAUAAUUUCAAUGUAACUUCGACGCAAAAAACGCAAAAAUAUUUUUGGGAGCGGAGGCUUAAGUUCCCUUUAUAUUUAUUAUGUACACUUAAAGUUCAAAUGAUAAGAACUGAAUUUGGAGAAGGGUAAAAUCCCUUUUAGACUUUCUAUUUGAGCUUUACGCUAUGGUGAACGAAUUUUGUAACUAAAAUUGUUAUACAAUUUUUCUUUUUUUCUUCACGCAUUUAUCCUUUGGAUAUAUUAUAUGCUCAUAUUUGUUCCCUUAAUAACCCAACGAAUUUCACUUUACAGAAUUCUUUUAAACGCAAUAAUGUUUUUUUUUUCUUUUUUUUUCAGAUAAUAAAUGUGUGUGUGUGGGAUUGGACGGUAUUCACCCACGAAAAAAGGGUGUAGAAUAAUUAAAACGACAUUUAGAGUAAUUUAUAAACAUUUACUAUAAUAUUACUAACAGGCUGACUAUCCGGUUAAUUUCGACUAGCUCCCGUUUAAUGGUUUGUUAUUUUCGGGAGCGAGAAAUUCUCAUCCCUUUAAUUUCGUAUUCCUAACCAGGCCAAAACAGUCGACUUUUUUCAGAAUUUAUUAGGUGUCCUUCUUUCUUUUUUCUUUUUUUUUAGCUAACCGGACACAGUAAAAUAUAUAAUAUAAUUUAACAUAUAACUAUACUAUACUUAUAAUAUUGUGUAGGUUUUUUGAAUAUUUAUACGUUUCGUUUACGAAAUAAUAUUUUAAUACUAUUAUACCCAUUUUCUUCGAUUUUUUUUUUUUUUAGAUUUAUAAUAAUAUAAUAAACAUUAUUUAUGUAGUGAAUUACGAUAGUGUUUUAAGUGUUCCAAUUUUCGGCAUGUCAUAUAUUAUAAUAUACUAUGUUAUACCAACUAUAAUAUUAUUA